rnacentral:rRNA from 1 species
UACAGAGGGCGCGAGCGUUAAUCGGAUUAACUGGGCGUAAAGGGCGCGUAGGCGGUUAUAUGAGUGUGAUGUGAAAGCCCUGGGCUUAACCUAGGAAGUGCAUCGCAAACGAUAUGACUGGAGUAUUGGAGAGGGUAGCGGAAUUUCCGGUGUAGCGGUGAAAUGCGUAGAGAUCGGAAGGAACGUCAAUGGCGAAGGCAGCUACCUGGCCAAAUACUGACGCUGAGGUGCGAAAGCGUGGGGAGCAAACAGG